GAACCACUCCCUAGUGUAAAUUUUCAAAAUUUGUUUGGUGUAAGUGACCUUGACGGGUUUCUGGGGGAAAACAUAUGUGUCAAAAAUUUGACAGGUUAGAUGGCCCCAUUGUCAGUGUAGAAAUUUUAUUUUAAUAAAUAGAUGAACAGAACAUACAGUCUGCACGGGACACAGUGCAACAAAUUGAAGGCAUAGCUGAGGGCAACCGAAAUAUUCGUAUUGUGCUAGUUUCGAUCACGUUUCAAUCGCCAUGUCAACCCGGAAACGCAUUUAGAGCAAUAGUUUUGAAUCAUUUUGCCAUGUGUUUGCAAGGUGCCAGCAUUAUCUAGUUCUGAGUAUUGUUGCUGCUUUAAUUUAACGCCAUGAAGUGUUGUGCUGUGCCGUUUUGUUACAAUAAGAAGAAACAACGCAAAGAAAAUGUACAGUUUUUCAGAAUAACACAUAUGCGACAGGAGUCGUGGUUGAAAGCAUUGAAAAAGAAUUCCCAAGAUACACUGUAUAGAGAUGCUAGUAUUUGCUCUGAUCUUUUUUGCUAGAUGGUUUUGUAUGUAUCAAUGGUAAACAUAACAAACUCUCAAGGUUGGAGCUAUUCCAACCGUUAGAUUGAGACCCUGCCCAAUGAAGAACUUGUUUUUACACAGUGAUAAAUCUUCGUCAUUGAAGUUUAGUAUCCUACAUAGUUCAAGUGAACAGUGUUUAUUAACAGAAAGAUGAUGAAGUCACAAACAUUGCAACUGAAAUAAGGAAAGCUGACAGUGAUUAUGGAAUUGAACACGUUUCUGAAGUAAGGCCUCAUCCAUCAACAACAGAUAGUGAAGGGUUAACAGGUACUCACAAAAAAAGAAGAAAACUAAUGCAUAUGGACCACAAGUACAGUUUAUCACCUAGAAAGUUAAAAUCACCUAAAAAGUCAAAAGUGUUAGUUUCUAAACUACAUAGCCAUUGGAAAAUUGAAAAAGCUCGAAUGUGGAGGCUUAGAAGAAAAGUCAAAAAUUUAAAAGAUGAUUUAAAGUUUCUACAUGGUCUGUUUUAGGUACUGCAGACUGUUCUUCCCUGUUGGAGAGAUUUAGUUCAUAGUGUUCAUUGGGUAGUAUAUGUAGUCAUACAAUAAUAUAUUUAGGCUUUCAUUAAACAAAUUAUGGCCUUUUUCACCAGACUUUUAAGAUUGACAAACACAUAUGGCGGGGAGAUGGAGCUUUUUGGAACAUUAAGGAAUUCAUUUAAGAAAAACCUUAGUGAAUUAAAUCUAUUGUAAUUAUUGUUAUUUUGUUAUUUAAUUAGCAUUAUAGUUUUGAAUUAAAUUUUUCUCUAAAGGGGUUAUCCCGUAAAUAAAUAAGCUGGAAGUGUAUGAGUCAUCACCAGUACGUGGGAUUCUAUCUCACCGCUGAAAUCCCCUAGUUGAAGGAAGGUGUGUUUUACGGAGAGUAGCGGGGAUGCUUU